UUUUUUUUCUUUUUUCUUUUUUCUUUUUUUUUUGAGACAGAAUCUUGCAGUGUUGCUGGGCUGGAGUGCAGUGGCACAAUCUCUGCUCACUGCAACCUCCGCCUCCUGGGUUCAAGCAAUUCCCCUGCCUCAGCCUCUCGAGUAGCUGGGACUGCAGGCGCCCACCACCAAGCCCAGCUAAUUUUUUGCAUUUUUUAGUAGAGACGGGGUUUCACCAUGUUGGCUAGAUGGUCUCAAUCUCCUGAUCUCAUGAUCUGCCAGCCUCGACCUCCCAAAGUGCUGGGAUUACAGGCAUGAGACACCGCACCCAGCCGUCAGUAAGUUUCUUUUUAUUUUUUUCCCAGUUCUAUUCAUUUUACUAAGCAAUCUAUUAUAGAAGCUAGUUAUAACAUGGAAACUAUAUUUCCCAAAUCCUGUGAUCUUACACAGGUAGUUACCUAAUAUAUAAUAGGUUAUAAUAUAUACAUACAUGUAUAUAUGUAGUGGGUAACUUGAUAGGUUAUAUAUAAUAUAUAUACACACACAUGUAUACAUACACACACACACACACACACACACACAUAUAGUGUGAGGAGGUAAAGUAGGUUAAAUAUUUUGGUUCUGGCAUCUUACUGAGUGAGCUGUAUUGUCAGUAGUAGCAGAGUCCUAAUGAAAUCUGUCUCCAAAAUGGCUGUGAUUUCCACUAGAUGAGCCAUUAUAGCUACUAUUUAUGGUACUCUGAAAGACUCUUUUGGUCAGACUUCAGUAAGCUGUGGAGUAACAGCGGAUGCGAACUCCUUUCUUUGCCUACUGGUCUCCUGAUUUGAGGAGCCAGAAGGACUAGAGGGCAGCUGUAGACUAAAAGCUAAUAUGACUCUUGUUCUGCUUAAAAUCUGCAUUUCCUUUUUGGGAACCAAGACUUCUAUACCCAUAGAUCCUAGACUUGUGAGGACCAGAAGCACAAAUUUCCCAAGCGGAUCACUGGGAGAAGUGGGGCCGCUCCUACUUUUACCUCUUGGUGCCUGGACCUAUGGAGUCUACCUACUGGAGAAACAGCACCAUAGAUUUGUUAUGAUUUAGGGUAUAUGUUACAUCCUGUAGAAUAUGUCCCCCUUCACAAGGUUUCAUCUCCAAGCUGGUGUUCAGGUGUCCCUUUAAAAGGCCAUUUCAUUACUCCAUCCAGCAGCUUCUAGGUUUCGUGGCUUGUGACAAGACCAGUCUCACUGAUCUAUAUUCACUGCUGUACCUCCUUUGUUGUAAAGUGAAUUCCUUGGUCCUUUGUGAGGUUAGGUAGGAUCCUAGGUAGGUGGAUCAAACCCUUUGUAGGUCCUUGGAUAAUGAGGAUGGCUGAGGCCAUGCAGCCAGGAAGGGAAAGUUCAUACCCAGAAUAUGUAUCAAUUCCAGUCAGAAUCAAUUUGCUCCCUUUUCAAGAUGGCCAAAGUUACUUAACACCAAGUGGUUGCUUGGUUUCCUCAAAGGAAGGUGCUGAAUCAGGGGCUGAGCCUUGCUCUCUGUUAGUGGUAGAUGGGAUAUUUGACAUAAGCAGUAGCUUAAUCAGCCUUGGAGAGCAGGAGCCCCUGCUGUUAGGCCCAUGUGCAGCCUCCAUCCCCGUCACUAUGGCUUCUCUACUCAUGUUCCUAUUGUGCCAACACUGCAGUGGCCAAUAACAGAGGCAGACUGACAUUCUGGUGAGUCAUUCUGUCUAUUCCAUUGUGUAAGCACCUCUUUUGUGAUAGAUGCUCUCUGUCAGGUAACAUACGAUUCAGACUUUUCAGAUACCAAACAAAAAGAAAGAUUUUACUUUCAUGUUUAUUCCCGUAGACUCACCCACAUGCCUUUUACCCAAACCUCCUUGUUUCUGAUCUUCUGAUCCGUUAACUAACCAGCCAAGUCAUUAGCUAUGCUUCCACAUGUAGUUUUACCUUGGGCCGCUUUUACUUUCAUACCCAGUGGACGCCCAUGUGUACAACUCAAAAGUUCUGCCCAUUGGAAGGGUUUCUGCUCACCAUUGUCUUACCCAGGAGCUGAGGGAAAGGCAUUGGUCAACAGUGGAAAAUGAAACUUGGGCCAGGACUUGUGCAGCUAAUGUGUGCACUCUGGCCCACUUCUUUCCCAUGUACACCACUUCCAUCUUACUAGAGAUUGUUGCUAGGUCUGCCUAGCCUUAUGAUUUUGUGGGCUGGACAGAUCUCAGGUCAGUUCUGGAAGCAUGAUCACUUGCGUCAACCAGGGCGCAGUAGCACCAAGGACUUGUUUUUCAAAUGGUUUAUAAUUUUCUACUGUGGGUGUCAUGUCUUGGUCGCAGAAUUCUAGGGGGCCUACGUUGCUAUUCUCCAACUGGAACAUGCCCAGAAACACCACAUGACACCUUUUACCAUCACUGAGAGCUCCAAUAUCAUUGAGUGUGUUAGGAAGUAUGGUCCAAGAGGCAGAAUCACUUGCCUUGUAGCCUGGACCUGCUGCAGAGCCCUUUUUUGUUGAGACUCAUUCAGAGCUGGAUGCUAUUUGUGUAAAUGGGUUGGAAUAGUGUUCUCUGUAUGAAAUAUGCUGCCUCCAAAAUCUGAAGAGGCCUACCAACCACUGUGCUUAUUUCUGAGUGGGGAAGUCAUGAAAUACAACAUUCAUUUGACAGGGAUAUCAUAGACCACUGGAUCCCAGGCCCCUGAAUCUUUAUAGUGUUUCUCUCUCAACCACUGAGGGAGUGUAUCUUAUCAAGGCCUUUGAUAUGUUUGUAAUUUCUUGUUCGUGCAGUCUAAAUCACACAAUUUUAUCAAUAUGUGGACUAAUGUGAUAUAAUAUCCAGAGGAUCCAGAUCCUUUGACUAUAUUAUGAGGACGGGCAGGUGCAUUAACAUUUAUAGUUAACUGUUGUGCAUCCAAAGUGAAUGUGAACUUUCUAGACUUUCCUCCUAUAAGGGAUGGGAAAGAAGGCAUUUCCCAGAUCAACGGCCACAUACCAACUAUCUGAGAGCCUUAUUAAUCUGCCCUAACAAAGAUGCUACAUCUGCCAC
ensembl:lncRNA